UACGUAGGCAGCAAGCGUUGUUCGGAGUUACUGGGCGUAAAGGGUGCGUAGGCGGUUGUUUAAGUUUGGUGUGAAAUCUCCCGGCUCAACUGGGAGGGUGCGCCGAAUACUGAAUGACUAGAGUGCGGGAGAGGAGAGUGGAAUUCCUGGUGUAGCGGUGAAAUGCGUAGAUAUCAGGAGGAACACCAGUGGUGUAGACGGCUCUCUGGACCGUAACUGACGCUGAGGCACGAAAGCGUGGGUAGCAAACAGG
rnacentral:rRNA from 1 species